rnacentral:ncRNA from 1 species
UUCUUCGGGGUUGGGUGAAAUUCCCUACCGGCGGUCACAGCCCGCGAACCGAGCGGAUCCCCCGCCCGGCCGAAUCGGUGAAAUUCCGAUGCCGACAGUCACAGUCUGGAUGAGAGAAGA